rnacentral:rRNA from 1 species
UGGGGAAUUUUGGACAAUGGGCGAAAGCCUGAUCCAGCAAUGCCGCGUGUGUGAAGAAGGCCUUCGGGUUGUAAAGCACUUUUGUCCGGAAAGAAAUCCUUGGCUCUAAUACAGUCGGGGGAUGACGGUACCGGAAGAAUAAGCACCGGCUAACUACGUGCCAGCAGCCGCGGUAAUACGUAGGGUGCAAGCGUUAAUCGGAAUUACUGGGCGUAAAGCGUGCGCAGGCGGUUUGCUAAGACCGAUGUGAAAUCCCCGGGCUCAACCUGGGAACUGCAUUGGUGACUGGCAGGCUAGAGUAUGGCAGAGGGGGGUAGAAUUCCACGUGUAGCAGUGAAAUGCGUAGAGAUGUGGAGGAAUACCGAUGGCGAAGGCAGCCCCCUGGGCCAAUACUGACGCUCAUGCACGAAAGCGUGGGGAGCAAACAGGAUUAGAUACCCUGGUAGUCCACGCCCUAAACGAUGUCAACUAGUUGUUGGGGAUUCAUUUCCUUAGUAACGUAGCUAANGCGUGAAGUUGACGCCUGGGGAGUACGGUCGCAAGAUUAAAAC